rnacentral:rRNA from 1 species
UACAGAGGGGGCAAGCGUUGUUCGGAAUUACUGGGCGUAAAGGGCGCGUAGGCGGCCUUCUAAGUCGAACGUGAAAUCCCCGGGCUCAACCCGGGAACUGCGUCCGAUACUGGAGGGCUUGAAUCCGGGAGAGGGAUGCGGAAUUCCAGGUGUAGCGGUGAAAUGCGUAGAUAUCUGGAGGAACACCGGUGGCGAAGGCGGCAUCCUGGACCGGUAUUGACGCUGAGGCGCGAAAGCCAGGGGAGCAAACGGG